rnacentral:rRNA from 1 species
CCUACGGGAGGCAGCAGUGAGGAAUAUUGGUCAAUGGGCGGGAGCCUGAACCAGCCAAGUCGCGUGAGGGAAGAAGGUACUGCGUAUUGUAAACCUCUUUUGCCAGGGGACAAAGGCGGCCACGGGUGGCCGUAAGAGGGUACCUGGAGAAAAAGCAUCGGCUAACUCCGUGCCAGCAGCCGCGGUAAUACGGGGGAUGCGAGCUUUAUCCGGGUUUAUUGGGUGUAAAGGGUGCGCAGGCGGAGUGUCAAGUCAGGGGUAAAAUGGAGGGGCUCAACCCCGGCCGGCCAGUGAAACUGGCGUGCUUGAGUUGAAGAGAAGUAUGCGGAAUUCGUGGUGUAGCGGUGAAAUGCAUAGAUAUCACGCAGAACCCCGAUUGCGAAGGCAGCAUACCGGCUCCCCACUGACGCUGAAGCACGAAAGCGUGGGUAUCGAACAGGAUUAGAUACCCUGGUAGUC